rnacentral:rRNA from 1 species
GCCAAGGAGAGUUUGAUCCUGGCUCAGGAUGAACGCUGGCGGCGUGCAUAACACAUGCAAGUCGAACGGGGUUGUUAGGACUGAUUUGGCGGGGUAACCUACUGGAGAGGGAAUAGCAGCUUAGUGGCGGACGGGUGAGUAACGCGUGAGGACCUGUCCAUCGGAGGGGGACAACAGCUGGAAACGGCUGCUAAUACCGCGUAUGCGCGAGAGAUUGCGUGAGAGGGCGCAG